rnacentral:rRNA from 1 species
UACGUAGGGGGCAAGCGUUGUCCGGAAUUAUUGGGCGUAAAGAGCGUGUAGGCGGUCCGGUAAGUCAGCUGUGAAAGUCAAGGGCUCAACCCUUGAAUGCCGGUUGAUACUGUCGGGCUAGAGUCCGGAAGAGGCGAGUGGAAUUCCUGGUGUAGCGGUGGAAUGCGCAGAUAUCAGGAGGAACACCAAUAGCGAAGGCAGCUCGCUGGGACGGUAUUGACGCUAAGGCGCGAAAGCGUGGGGAGCAAGCAGG